rnacentral:tRNA from 1 species
AGCGGAGUAGAGUAAAGGUAACUCACGAGGCUCAUAACCUCGGAAUGUAGGUUCGAUUCCUGCCUCCGCAA